rnacentral:pre_miRNA from 1 species
CAAAUACUCCCUUCGUUCAGAAAUACUUGUCAUCAAAAUGGAUAAAAGGAAAUGUAUCUAGACGUAUUUUAGUUUUAGAUACAUCUCUUUUUAUCCAUUUUGAUGACAAGUAUUUUCGGACGAAGGGAGUAGAAA